rnacentral:rRNA from 1 species
UACGGAGGGUGCGAGCGUUGUCCGGAAUCACUGGGCGUAAAGGGCGCGUAGGCGGCCUGCUAAGUCGGGGGUGAAAUCCUGCGGCUUAACCGCAGGGCUGCCUUCUAAACUGUCAGGCUCGAGCACAGUAGAGGCAGGUGGAAUUCCCGGUGUAGCGGUGGAAUGCGUAGAGAUCGGGAAGAACAUCAGUGGCGAAGGCGGCCUGCUGGGCUGUUGCUGACGCUGAGGCGCGACAGCGUGGGGAGCAAACAGG